rnacentral:lncRNA from 10 species
GUAGGAUGAGGAGUGUAAACGGCCCACCCUGCUCCCAGUGGUAACUAUGGGUAUGAUUUCCUUUUGGGAGAAGACAGAGAUUGCCCUUCUGAUCCUCCCAGCUGUAAAUUUGGGCUGGGGCAACUUUUAGACACAAACAGGGCACUCCUGGCUACAGGGCCUCAAUGUUUUCCUUGAGGUGGAGUAUCUAGGCAUUUCCCUGAGGUUUCUGAUGCCUGGGCAGGGUGGGGUGGGGUGUGGCUGGUUCUGACAGCUGUUCCCCACCCAGCUUUGUGCCCUGGGGAGGGAGAUCUACCUGCACAUCCCGCUGCACUGGAUCUGCAGGGAGCUGGGGCUGCCCUUGGACGCCUCAGGCACAGGCCCUCAUCCUCUGCCUAACUGCUUUUUACACCCAUCCCUUGAGUCCAGGGAGAUUUUGCCACAAUUUCAAAAAAGAAAUGAUUAUUCAGAAGGCAUUCUUCUAUAUAUUUCCUUUUUUUUUUUUUUUGAGAUGGAGUUUCGCUCUGUCACCAGGCUGGAGUGCAGUGGCAUGAUCGGCUCACUGCAACCUCCGCCUCAUGGGUUCAAGCGAUUCUCCUGCCUCAGCCUCCCGAGUAGCUGGGACUACAGGUGCAUGCCACCACGCCCAGCUAAUAUUUUAAUUUUUAGUAGAGAUGGGGUUUCACCAUGUUGGCCAGGAUGGUCUUAAUCUCUUGACCUCGUGAUCUGCCCGCCUCAGCCUCCCAAAGUGCUGGGAUUACAGGCAUGAGCCACCGUGCCUGGCCACAUUUCUGUAUAUCUUGCAAGCAGACACACUGUCUGUCUUUUAUUUGAUCAUCUUUCCAAGGAUGCUGGUAUAGCAUGUAUGCUUGGAAAAUAGAGAUGCUGUUUCUCCAGAGAAAGGGGGAGCUUGCUUGCAUUCUUCUAUGUAGUUCUAAGGCCCCUGCUCCACUGUACAGCAAGUGGCCACACCCUUAGUGUCUUCCUUGCCUAACCCAGACCCUUACAGCACUCAGCUUGGAAAAGACCCUUGCAGCGCUCAGUUGGGUGCCAUGAUUAUGCCUGUAAUCCCAGCACUUAGGGAGGCCAAGGUGGGUGGGUCACUUGAGCCUGGGAGUUUGAGACCAGCCUGGGCACCAUGGCAAAACGCCAUCUCUAAAAAAAAAAAAAAAAAAAACCACAAAAAUUAGCCAGGCAUGAGGAUGCACCUGUAGUCCCAGCUACUGGGGAGGUUGCUGCAGUGGGAGGAUUGCCUGAACCCAGGGAGGUUGAGGCUGCAGUGGGCUGUGAUUGUGCCACUGCACUCUAUCUUGGGUGACAGAGUGAGACCCUGUCUCAAACGAAAACAAAAUUUCAAAAAAAAAAAAAAGAAUGCAUUCUUGCCCUUAGAGGCUCCAUCCUCACCUCCCUCUUCUGGUUUCUCUUCCUCUGUCUCUGCUGUGUGUGUCUUUAAUAAAGAACACUGAAAUUAGUGAGCCAGGUUUGCCUCCUGGGCAGGAAUUAUGAAAUCCAGGUGGCCUUGGUUGUAAUAGGGGGAAAAAAAAACCUUUAUUUUGUCUGCUUAGUGUUGUCCUGGCUUUUCUUUGCAUAUUCCGUCCCCCUACCCCCAAACUCACUGUGCUGUUCUGGUGAGGCUGACCCCACCCAGAUUCAGGACUGACCCAGGCCUGGCCAAUCAACAAGGCCUUCAGGGACUGGUACGUGUCAGUUAAAUGAGUCAGUCCCAGGACGCUUUGUAUAUAUAUGUAUGUAAUAUUUGUAACUAUUGGGAAAGUGUCUAGCUUUCCACAGGAACUUCUAACCUGUUCCAGUGUGACCCUAAGGAUGCCGGUAGCCAUCUUGCCACUCUCGGGAGAGGAAGAGCCACAGAGACAAGGCAACUCUGAGAGCUGAGUCCUGAUGACCGGUCGAAGCACCCGAAUUCAGCACUAGGUGAUCUGUCUCCACUGUGCUUUUAGCAACACGGCCUUGAAAAAGAGACUCUGAGAGACUCACUCCAGUCAUGCAGAAUUUUGGGACAAUAGUGAGGUUUUCUCCCCAGGGAUCCCUUCCAUGUUUGAAUUUCCCCACUCCAAGAGUUGUUCAGCAGAGGCCAUGGGGACUGGCAUCUGGAUCCCGACCCACACUUACUCCAAGUUUUCCACUUUCGGAAGUCUCCCAAUCUUCAGGCUGAAGUUGACUUCAGUGGGGCAGGCAACUGCAUGCCCUACCUAGGUGCCAGUGAGAAUUGGAUUCAGCUUUUAAAGACCCUACUUUCUGCCUCCAAAUGGUCUAAACAAAGAUAGAAGUGUAUUUCCUUCUCAGGUGAAUGAAGUCUGGACUUAGUCUUCCUGAGGUUGUCAUGAACCAGGAUCUCUUUAUCCUGCUUUCUCCCCAUCCUCGGCGUUUGGCAUAAACCUUCCAUGACUCCUUUCCCUCCCCUCUUCUCUCCCCACACUGCACAUGCCAUGUCACUUACUUCAUUGGCUGGAACACGGAGACUCCACCAGCGAGGGAGGCUGGAAAAGGCAUUCUUCAUUCUGAGUGCCAGUUUCAUGUCGGGGGCCCAUCACUAAGGAAGAAGAACAGAAUGGAUAUUUGGGGGAUACUAGGAGUUCUCUGACCUCUCAUGCCACUCCGUGAUGUGCCGCAGCAAAAAUCCUCACUGGAAUAGCUCCAGUGCUGGUGAUGCCAAUGAAGGCCACUGUGGAAAAGAAAAGAAUAAUUAAUUCCAGACACAUCAGUAAAGACACCCUCCUGUUAUAAAUGCUGAGAGAAUGGCUUGGGACCACCUGGGGUCGUUCUCCAUCCUGACCAUUUAGAGAUCACUACCCUCAGGGAGUAAGGUCUCAAAUCCCAUCUCAAUGCCUCAUAGACAGCUGGACUUACAAGGAUUUAGGCCCACAGAAACAUUUUAGGAAACUUCCAGGGAGUCAGAGAUCAGGCAAGGGAGCUGCGUCCCUGCGUGACCCCAUCUCAGCUGAGAUGAGACAAUAGCGGCUUUCUUCGUGAAAAACUAAAGUGGGAAAUGUUUCUUGAUAUGUUUCACUACCAGUCUAUAUAGAGGGUCCGUUUAUGAAUAAGAGAAUUGUGGAAUUCCACACAAGGUUGUUGGGUCUCAGAGCUCCUUCUGCAGCUCAGGAGCACUGUAACUGGAUUCUCCAAAGCAAAAACACUGCUUUUGCAGGUCAUUAACAACCAUGUGACAAAACUAUCUUCAGGGAAGGAACCCAACCUCAACACCUCAACAUUCACUAGUUAACACUUGCAGAGUGCUUAAAGUGCUGGUUGGAGCAUGGUAGGGGCUCAGCAAAUAUUAGUGAAACAAGUGCCUGGACAUUCUGGGUAAGAGAAGCCAUUAUUAUUAGAUAUUUAUGAUGCAUUUACUAUGUAUAAGGGAUAUAAGCACUCUGAAGGAUCACAGAGAUAAGACAUUGUCCUUGCCCUCAAGGAGUUUACAAUCUAAUAAAGAAAAUAAGAGGCUGGGCACAGUGGCUCACGCCUGUAAUCCCAGCACUUUGGGAGGCUGAGAUGGGCGGAUCACAAGGUCAGGAGAUUGAGACCAUCCUGGCUAACAUGGUGAAACCCUGUCUCUAAUAAAAAUACAAACAAUUAGCUGGGUGUGUGGCAGGCGCCUAUAGUCCCAGCUGCUCAGGAGGCUAAGGCAGGAGAAUGGCGUGAACCCGGGAGGCGGAGCUUGCAGUGAGCCGAGAUCAUGCCACUGCACUCCAGCCUGGGCGACAGAGCGAGACUCCGUCUAAAAAAAAAAAAAAAAAACCAAAGCAAAAAAUAAUCAAGGUAAGAAUCUGGGUUCCUGCCUCCCACAAUUUAUAAUUGUAAAUGUGUUUUGUUUUUUUUUUUUUAGCAAGUUUAUUAAGAAAGUAAAGGCAUAAAGAAUGGCUACUCCAUAGGCAGAGUGCCUAUAAUUGUGUCUUUGAAGAGGCUGGUUUUAAUUUUUAUUUUCUUUUAUUUGUUUAGUUUUAGAGAUGGGUGUCUUGCUAUGUUGCUCAGGCUGGUCUCAAACUCCUAGCCUCAACCAGUCCUCCUGCCCUCCCUUCUAAAGUGCUGGGAUUACAGGCAUGAGCCACUGUACUCAGCUAAGGCUGGUUUUAAAAUCCUCUCAUUUCUCCUAGAAGAUGGUGAGGAUGUGAUGUGGGUCACGUGGGCCAGGCUCGGGGGGUCAUGGGCAGCACACUGUCCUUGGAAACAGCAGCAGUGGUGCCUCCUGUUUGUUCCUGUCACCUCUUGCUUCCUAGCUGAGCCUCUGCCUCAGUGUCCCCUCUCCAAGAUGAGGCAACUGCAUGUGUGUCCUGCAGCUCCCUCCCUCCCUUGCACUCCUAGCUGCUAGAAGCAGUCAUAUCUGUGAAUCACAUAGAGCUCCCUGACAUCUGGUCUUACAUCAAAUCUUUCUUGGCAAUAUAAGAGUGAAACAUCCAGUUUUUCAAACUGGCUGUUUUGUUUUGAAUUCAUCUUCAGAUGAGCUUUUCUCAGGAGAAAUGAGGAGUGGGGGACAGAGAGCAGAAUAAAAUGCCCACAGGAGAGUAAAACAAGAUGCCAAAAGACCAGGAGGAAGACCACAGAUUUCCAGAGCCUGAUCCUCUGCCACCAGACCCUGAGGGCAGCUCUUUGAUUUCUGGUCACUCGUGUCCUCCAUUCCAUGCCUUCGGCAGCCACCACCACAACCCCGGGGUCGGGCACCUCCACAGUGUACAGCAAGUUUACUACCUAGCAAAGUAUGGCCCAGAUCAACGGGGGCUUCAAAACCAUCCACACUUACGUUUCAUUCAUUCAUUUGCUAAUUUAUUCAUUCUAUAUUCAUUCAACACUCAUUGAGCACCAGUAGGUGUCAUCUAGAAGUCUUGUCUCCAUUUGCUAUCAGCAAGGGUAUCACCUUUUCUAUACAAUGAGUCUCAUUUCCCAAGAGUGGUUUUGGAUUUGAAAGCAGAUGUUACUCAGAACCUUUUCUGAGGGCAGUGUCUCAGCUCCCCAGGGAGGCCUCCAGUUCUCCAAAGGAGCCUUAUACAUCUUUGGCCCAGGUUAGCAUCCAUCUCCCUGCACAUCCUCACAGAUAUUAAAAAGGAUCAAAGCAUCUUUGGACAGUCCCGGGUUGUCUCCAAGGAAAUCGGAGGCACCUGGAUGUAACUAACAAAGACUCUUUGUGUCAGUGGGGCUGAGUCACCUGACAGGUCUGAAAUGUAACUUCCUCCUCUGGGGCCAGGAGAAUGGAAUCCGAAAGGCUAGAAGGAUAGAUCAAAAUGAAGAUAAAAUUUUAAAGGAAUGAAAGUAGAGUUUUGUACUUAGUGAUUAAAAGAAGAAAAGAAAUGACGAAGGAAAAAGGAAUCCCAUUUGACGGUGUUGUAUGUGAAACUGACUUAGAGAUUUUGGUUGACUGCAAACUCAAGGUGGACUAAGGCCUGAUGUGGCAGCUGGAAACCUGAAUGGACUUUGAUUGUGUCACAGAGUCAGGAGUGUCUAGUGAGGAGACAGUAGCCCCCUGGGUUUGUCACAGGUCAGGCCAUUUGUAAAAUAUUAGGCUUAGUUGUGGGUCCAUGUUUUAAGAUACAUUUUAACAAACUGGAAGGACCCCCAGAGAAAGGUGGUAUAAGUGUGGGAACCACACCGCACAAGAAGCCACUCAUGUUCAUCUAUAAAAAUGAUUUACGGACAUGACAACCUUCUUAAAAUAUCUGAUUGUCAAGAUGUAAAAGGGAGCCUGGAGAACUGAAGGCUGAGAAGGACUUCAUUCUCAGAUUGUGGGAGAGACCUUCUGACAUGGAUUUCUACAACCUCUGGCCACUUCAUCUCACAAUUUAAUCUGCAUCUUCCUCUUUCCCUUCAUGUCCUCCUGUCUUAGAGGAAGAAUCAUUCCUCCUCCUUCCAGAGGCUGACCUCCUCCUCUCCCAUCUCCUGCAGAACAUGCCCUGCUAAUUACCAUCCCCUCCAGAAUCCUUUAUUUUUCUUUCUUUCCAUAAGCCCACAAAUACGAGGGAGAUGAUUAGUUAGGUACUUAUUACAUGCCAGGUGCAUAGUAAUUAAUCUGCCUUAUCUUGAUUAAUCCUCAAACCAAUCCAAUGAAGUAGGUGACAUCCUCUCCAUUUACAGAUGAAGAAACAGAGGUUAGCUGGGUGUGGUGGCUCAUGCCUGUAAUCCCAGCACUUUGAGAGGCCAAGGUGGGCAGAUCACUUGAGGCCGGGAGUUUAAGACCAGCCUGGCCAACAUGGUGAAACCCCCUCUCUACAAAAAAUACAAAAAUCAGCCAGGUGUGGUGGUGCACACCUGUGACUCCAGCUACUCAGUAGGCUGAGGCAUGAGAAUUGCUUGAACCUGGGAGGUGGAGGCUGCAGUGAACCGAGACCCACCACUGUAUUCCAGCCUAGGCAACACAGCAAGACUCUGAAAAAAAGAGAAAGAAAGAAAGGAAGGAAGGAAGGGGAAAGGAAAGGAAGACAGAAAGGGAGGAAAGAAGGGAGGAGAAAGAAAGAGAAGAAGGAAAGAAAGAAAGAAGAAAGAGGAAGGAAGGGAAAGAAAAGAAAGGAAGACAGGGAGGAAGGGAGGGAGGAAGGAAGGAGAAAGAAAGAGAAGAAGGAAAGAAGAAAGAAAGAAAAGAAAGAAAAAGAAAGAAAAAGAAAAAGAAAGAAAGGAAGAAAAAAGGAAGAAAGAAAAGAGAAAGAAGCUGCAAGGAGUUCAGUGACAUUUCCAAGCUCACCCAAGUGAGCUUGGCCAAGUUUGAAACUUGAAGAGUGCUUAAAGUUCUGGAUGGACUCAAUUCCAGGUCCAUCUGCCAUUAAAACCCCCAAGCUCACUUGCUUCCAGGCUUUAAACGUGCUCCUCCAUUCCCAGCCAAGUGCCUUUAAAGAAGGCUUUCUCUGUGGAUCUACUUUCUCACCUCUCAUCCACUCAGCCUGCUGCAGCCUGCUUUCUGCCCUCACCCUCUGCAGAAACGGCCUGCAGAAGGUCAUCAGUGACCUAGGUUAAUCCCAUCAGCCUCUCCUCAGUUCUCACCCCACGUGGCCUUUUGUGGCAUUGACAUUGCUGGCCAUACUCAUCUUCCCCUACCCUCCACCCUCUGCCACAUCUGGCUGAGCCCCUUUCUCUCACCACUUCACCUCUCAUCCUAUAAUCCCCACCUCAGGUCCCUCCUUCCAGGUGUCAUUGGCCCUUUUAAAGGACCUGAGGACUCAGCUAAAGUUGGAAAUCAGGAAUGUGUGUGUGGGACUUCCUGGUAGGUGUAGGGGUGCUAUGGGUCUAAAUGUGUCCCCCUGAAAUUCACAUGUUGAAGCUUAAAUGCCAAUGGAAUAGUAUUAAGAGGGGGGCCUUUUGAAGGUGAUUAAGUCAUGAUUCCUUAUGAAUGGGACUAAUGACCUCAUAAAAGAAGUCCUGCGAAGCCUCUUUUGCCCUUCCCUCUCUUCUGCCAUGUGAGGACACAGCAGUCAUCUCUGUCUUCCUCCUCUGCCAUGUGAUGACACAGGAAGAAGUUGCCAUAUGAGGGACAGGCCCUCACAGACACUGAAUCUGCUAGUGCCUUGAUCGUGGACUUCCCAGCCUCUAGAGCUAUGAGAAAAUAAACCUCUGUUCUUUAUAA